GACGAACGCUGGCGGCGUGCCUAAUACAUGCAAGUAGAACGCUGAAGGAGGAGCUUGCUUCUCUGGAUGAGUUGCGAACGGGUGAGUAACGCGUAGGUAACCUGCCUGGUAGCGGGGGAUAACUAUUGGAAACGAUAGCUAAUACCGCAUAAUAGUAGAUGUUGCAUGACAUUUGCUCAAAAGGUGCAAUUGCAUCACUACCAGAUGGACCUGCGUUGUAUUAGCUAGUUGGUGAGGUAACGGCUCACCAAGGCAACGAUACAUAGCCGACCUGAGAGGGUGAUCGGCCACACUGGGACUGGGACACGGCCCAGACUCCUACGGGAGGCAGCAGUAGGGAAUCUUCGGCAAUGGACGGAAGUCUGACCGAGCAACGCCGCGUGAGUGAAGAAGGUUUUCGGGUCGUAAAGCUCUGUUGUAAGAGAAGAACGAGUGUGAGAGUGGAAAGUUCACACUGUGACGGUAUCUGACCAGAAAGGGACGGCUAACUACGUG
rnacentral:rRNA from 1 species